CAGGCUAGGGGUCGAAUCAGAGUUGUAGCCACUGGCCUAUGCCACAGCCACAACCACAGUCAAACAACAGCAAUGCCAGAAAUGAGCCACAUCUACGACCUACACCACAGCUCACAGCAACGCUGGAUCCUUAACCCACUGAGCAAAGCCAGGGAUCAAACCUGUAUCCUCAUAGAUACUAGUCAGAUUCAUUAACCGCUGAGCCAUAAUAGGAACUCCUCUCUUCCUCUUUCUUAAAGUAGCUCUGGAAACUCCAAAACUGGGCCAUAUGCCUCAGUGCCUGCUCUCCUGGGACCCUGGGUUUCUUCACACUUGAAUCUUGUUUUCGCUUAUGGGAAACUGGGGGUCCUGGGCUCCAUCCAGUGCAUAGUGGGGAGGGAGCAGCCUGCUUCACACUGAUCUCACCCUCAUGUCUGGUGUGCUGGCUCAAAGGACCAAUCAAAAUUCAAAAGACAUUAGGAUUUAUGUGUCAGGGUGAGGUCUUCCCAGUUAACUAGAGAACAAGCCGACUAGAGCUCAAGGCAUUUGGUGGUUGCUCCAGAAUUCCAAUAGAGCCCCCAGGGGGUGGAUGGGGGCUGACUUUGACCAAACCCCAGGGUCUGGGACAGCUCUGUUCCUGGGACAGAUCUGUUCCUCUGCCUAGCCCUGGAGCCACAGGGCAAGGAGCUCACUGCAGAUGGCAGAUUUAUGGCCCUGAUUCAGAGACAUGCUUUUUUUUUUUUUUUUUUUUUUUUUGCUUUUUAGGGCCACACCUGUGGCAUGUGGAGGUUCCCAGCCUGGGAACCUCCAGAUGCUGCGAAUAUGGCCCUAAAAAGCCAAAAAAAAAAAAAGUGACUGCUAUUGUCAUUUCCCACCUAUCUAGGGUGACACCCAGAGUGGUGAGCCAGGACUGUGUGAUUGGGGGGGUGGAGAUGGAGUGUCUGCUGAACCCCACAUUGUGAAGUUUUGGGAAGUGUGGUAGGUAGAGUUAGACCUGGAAUCCAUUGCUUUCUUGCUGUGUCACCUCGGGGAGCUUACCUAUCUCUCUGUGCCUAAGUGUCUCAUGUGAAAUAAGGGAGCUCUUGAAAGUAGCCAUUCUACAGAGGUCUUACAAGAGUAAACGGGGUCAGGAGUGAAGAGCACAGGGCCUGCCUGUGUCUCAGUAAAGAGGGGUUCACUGCUCAGUAAAGGGGGGCUAGCAUUAUCAUUGGUGGCCAUUAGGGAGGAAUGGGGGUGGGGUUGUGAGAGUGAAACAGAGAUAUGGUGAGGGACUCGAUUUCAUCCGAGGGCAGGGGCUUGGGUCCCUCUGUGAGGUGUUGGGACCCCCGGCCUUCCGUGUCUCUGCUGACAUAUUGGGUAGGUGAACAGGACCCUCCUGGUAAAGGCUCUGGGGUCUCAGAAGAUGCCUAUUUCCAGGAGAAAACCUAGGAAAACUGUGCCUUCAUCUCUUGGGUUCCAUGGGGCAGGACUUGGCUUCGCUGGUUAAGGCCCCUGUGUUUCCACCGCAGUGGCUCAGGUCGCUGCUAUGGCAUAGGUUUGAUCCCUUGCCCGGGAACUUCCACAUGCUUUGGGUGUGGCAAAAAAGAAAAGAAAAAAAGAAGAGGCAUUUCCACUGUGGCUCAACGGAAACAAAUCUGAUGAGUAUCCUCGAGGGUUCGGGUUCAUUGCCUGGGUUAAGGAUCUGGUGUUGCUGUGAGCUGUGGUGUAGACCAGCAGCGACAGCUCCGAUUCAACCCCUAGCCUGGGAACUUCC
rnacentral:lncRNA from 1 species